rnacentral:tRNA from 1 species
AGCAAGGUGGAGCAGCCCGGUAGCUCGUCUGGCUCAUAACCAGAAGGUCGGCAGUUCGAAUCUGCCCCUUGCAA